GAGUAGACAUACAGGAGUUGCAUUGAAAAGCGCAAGAGACUAAAUAUUUCUUUUCCUCCCCUUGAAAUCCGUACCUUCUCCUACAUGCAUUGCCAUGUUAUUAUUAACAGUGAUCUUUAAGGAAAUCAUUGCCAAGCGACUAAGACAUGCAAAAACAGCCACACGGGUUGAUUUGAAGACUAUCUACAGAAAAACUUUCGCCGGCUUGUGACGCAACCUUCCUCACCCAAUCCCAUUCAUUCGCCUUUCACUCAUUCAUUCAUUCAUUCCUUUUUCUUGCUGCCCUAAGAGCGCAUGCGCCGCAGGGCCUCUCAAGGAGGCGGGGCGUCCCUUCGUCGCCCCGCCUCUCGGGUCGCCACGGCAACAGGCAGCGCGUCCCGCUUCGGAUUCCCGGGCCUUCCCGGCCAAGGAGGGCGGCGGGAGGACGACGGAGUGGAGCCGAAUGGCGCGGGAGGUGAAGGGACCCAAGCCGUUCUCGAUCGCCUUCAGGGCCACAUUUCCCAAACCAAAUGUCGCUGCAAAGCAACUUAUAUCCUGGAGAAAUGAAGAACAAAAGCGCCAUGAAGCUGCAAUGUAUGCCAAGGCCCAUCUCCUCGGCCGUCAGAUCAAUGAAAGGGAAGAGCUGGAUGAACGCAGACAGCUGGAUCGGCUUGUCCAGAAGAGGGUUGAUGCUGAAAUGCAGGCCUAUUUAGCAGGAGAAGAAGAGAGGAGGGAGAGGUAACAUAAACUGCCUCAACAAGCUGGUGACUCUGCACAUGAAGACAGACUUUGCUUUUAAAGUACAGUAGGACUCCCAUAUCUGCAGGGGAUCACUUCCAGCCCGCCCAGGGAUGCUAAAAAAUGCAGAUUAUCGUGAACAUGAUUCAUUGCAUGGUCUCUGGCUUCCUUUAGUGGCCAGUUGUCAUAAUGAGAUAUUUAAAAAUAUAUAUUUUUAUGAUUUAUCUUUUAAUAUUUUUAAUAUGUUCAAGCUGUGGAUAAGUGAAUCAGCGGAUACUGAUCCCACAGAUAAGGAGGUCCUAAUGUACUUUUAAUAUGGUGAUUGUGUACUUUUGGUUCUGCAGAUGUUGGUGAACUCCAAGUCCCAGCAGCUCCAGCCCCCCUAGCAAGUGGUGAGGGAUGUAUAGCAAGGUAAAGAUUUGGAUAAAAAGAGAACAUCAUUUUUGCUUCACUGUAUCACAGUUUGCAAAAUAAAAAAUAAUUAAUUUUGUUUUAUUUUGGUAUA
rnacentral:lncRNA from 1 species